AGUGAACGCUGGCGGUAGGCCUAACACAUGCAAGUCGAACGGCAGCACAGUAAGAGCUUGCUCGUACGGGUGGCGAGUGGCGGACGGGUGAGGAAUACAUCGGAAUCUACUUUUUCGUGGGGGAUAACGUAGGGAAACUUACGCUAAUACCGCAUACGACCUACGGGUGAAAGCAGGGGAUCUUCGGACCUUGCGCGAUUGAAUGAGCCGAUGUCGGAUUAGCUAGUUGGCGGGGUAAAGGCCCACCAAGGCGACGAUCCGUAGCUGGUCUGAGAGGAUGAUCAGCCACACUGGAACUGAGACACAGUCCAGACUCCUACGGGAGGCAGCAGUGGGGAAUAUUGGACAAUGGGCGCAAGCCUGAUCCAGCCAUACCGCGUGGGUGAAGAAGGCCUUCGGGUUGUAAAGCCCUUUUGUUGGGAAAGAAAAGCAGCAGGUUAAUACCCCGCUGUUCUGACGGUACCCAAAGAAUAAGCACCGGCUAACUUCGUG
rnacentral:rRNA from 1 species